rnacentral:snRNA from 1 species
AUUUACGUUUUUGGCGGGAAAAU